GUUGUCACUUCAGCAAUACACACACAAACACUGAAGUGAUUAACAUGGCACUUCCAUAAGGAUGACAAGUAAAUUUGUGAUACACUCCAUAUUUUU
ensembl:snRNA U6 U6 spliceosomal RNA